rnacentral:hammerhead_ribozyme from 1 species
AUCCAGCUGACGAGUUAUAAAUACGACGAAACGCGCGUCCUGGAU